rnacentral:rRNA from 1 species
GAUGAACGCUGGCGGCGUGCCUAAUACAUGCAAGUCGAGCGAACGGACGAGAAGCUUGCUUUUCUGAUGUUAGCGGCGGACGGGUGAGUAACACGCGGAUAACCUACCUAUAAGACUGGGAUAACUUCGGGAAACCGGAGCUAAUACCGGAUAAUAUUUUGAACCGCAUGGUUCAAAAGUGAAAGACGGUCUUGCUGUCACUUAUAGAUGGAUCCGCGCUGCAUUAGCUAGUUGGUAAGGUAACGGCUUACCAAGGCAACGAUGCAUAGCCGACCUGAGAGGGUGAUCGGCCACACUGGAACUGAGACACGGUCCAGACUCCUACGGGAGGCAGCAGUAGGGAAUCUUCCGCAAUGGGCGAAAGCCUGACGGAGCAACGCCGCGUGAGUGAUGAAGGUCUUCGGAUCGUAAAACUCUGUUAUUAGGGAAGAACAUAUGUGUAAGUAACUGUGCACAUCCUGACGGUACCUAAUCAGAAAGCCACGGCUAACUACGUG